rnacentral:rRNA from 1 species
AUGAACGCUGGCGGCGUGCCUAAUACAUGCAAGUCGAGCGAACGGACGAGAAGCUUGCUUCUCUGAUGUUAGCGGCGGACGGGUGAGUAACACGUGGAUAACCUACCUAUAAGACUGGGAUAACUUCGGGAAACCGGAGCUAAUACCGGAUGAUAUUUUGAACCGCAUGGUUCAAAAGUGAAAGACGGUCUUGCUGUCACUUAUAGAUGGAUCCGCGCUGCAUUAGCUAGUUGGUAAGGUAACGGCUUACCAAGGCAACGAUGCAUAGCCGACCUGAGAGGGGGAUCGGCCACAAGGGAACUGAGACGCGGUCAAGACCCCUAGGGGGGGCAGGAGGGGGGAAUUGUCCGAAAGGGGCAAAAGCCUGCCGGAGCAACGCCGCGUGAGGGAAGAAGGUCUUGGGAUGAAAAAACUCUUUUAUUGGGGAAAAAAAAAUGUGUAAGUACCUGGGAACAUUGUGGCGGUACAUAAAAAAAAACCCACGGCAAACUGCG